GCUUUCAGUUUGAGAAGCAAGGAAUGCAGGACAUCAGGAGAAACGGCUGAUGCCACAAUGGUUUCUGCAAUGAAGAAGCAGAACGCUCUGAAUGCCAGGAUCCACCUCGCUCCGUCCUUUUCGUGCAGUUAGGAACCUUAGCCCAUGGAAUAGUACUACCCACAUUCAGGAUACAGCAUCCCACCUCUGUGAUUGAAGUUCACACUUGACUGUGUAGUGAGUUCCAACCAGUCCGUGCUACGUGAGACCUGGUCUUAUGAAACAAACGAUAACCUCACAAGGACAACCACUUUGUGAAAAAUAGAAAAGAAAAUAUUCUGCUGGGAAAAUGUUUACUUCUCAGACACACUCAGGAGUGAAAUAAGGGCUUUCUCCAGCAACCGAGAAGGUGGAAGAUCAAAGACUGCUACGGCCUAUUUUGGAGAUGCUCUGCCAGGUGUUUGAGGAAUUAUAGAGAAACAAACACCCAGGUGAGCAUUGUGAACCACAGAUGCUUUGUUUUCUGCUCUAUUUUCAUAAAAAGAAAAGUUGACAACUGGAGAUAUUUACAAAGAGUCCAUCCAUCCUUUUCUAUUACAAAUGUCUUUACUUUCUUUUUAAAUUUUAAGUAAAGUAGCAUCCAUGUAUCUUCUGCAGACUAGUGCAACAAAUAGAAGGGGAUAUGGAAACAUGCCUUCUGUGAGUUAGUCUCUGUGUCCAUAGAAUGUGACGCCCAUUAGAACGUAAAUUUUAUGUGAAAUACAGU
rnacentral:lncRNA from 1 species